UACGGGGGGGGCAAGCGUUGUUCGGAAUUACUGGGCGUAAAGGGCUCGUAGGCGGCCAACUAAGUCAUACGUGAAAUCCCUCGGCUUAACCGGGGAACUGCGUCUGAUACUGGAUGGCUUGAGAUUGGGAGAGGGAUGCGGAAUUCCAGGUGUAGCGGUGAAAUGCGUAGAUAUCUGGAGGAACACCGGUGGCGAAGGCGGCAUCCUGGACCAACACUGACGCUGAGGAGCGAAAGCCAGGGGAGCGAUCCGG
rnacentral:rRNA from 1 species